rnacentral:rRNA from 1 species
AGCAGUAGCCGCGGUAAUACGUAGGUGGCAAGCGUUGUCCGGAAUUAUUGGGCGUAAAGGGCUCGCAGGCGGUUUCUUAAGUCUGAUGUGAAAGCCCCCGGCUCAACCGGGGAGGGUCAUUGGAAACUGGGAAACUUGAGUGCAGAAGAGGAGAGUGGAAUUCCACGUGUAGCGGUGAAAUGCGUAGAGAUGUGGAGGAACACCAGUGGCGAAGGCGACUCUCUGGUCUGUAACUGACGCUGAGGAGCGAAAGCGUGGGGAGCGAACAGGAUUAGAUACCCCGGUAGUCCCUGUCUCUUAUAA